rnacentral:rRNA from 1 species
UAGUAUGGGGAUCUGCCUGAUAGAGGGGGAUAACUACUGGAAACGGUGGCUAAUACCGCAUAAUGUCUACGGACCAAAGCAGGGGCUCUUCGGACCUUGCACUAUCGGAUGAACCCAUAUGGGAUUAGCUAGUAGGUGGGGUAAAGGCUCACCUAGGCGACGAUCUCUAGCUGGUCUGAGAGGAUGAUCAGCCACACUGGGACUGAGACACGGCCCAG